AUUGAACGCUGGCGGCAGGCCUAACACAUGCAAGUCGAGCGGAUGAAGGGAGCUUGCUCCUGGAUUCAGCGGCGGACGGGUGAGUAAUGCCUAGGAAUCUGCCUGGUAGUGGGGGAUAACGUCCGGAAACGGGCGCUAAUACCGCAUACGUCCUGAGGGAGAAAGUGGGGGAUCUUCGGACCUCACGCUAUCAGAUGAGCCUAGGUCGGAUUAGCUAGUUGGUGGGGUAACGGCCUACCAAGGCGACGAUCCGUAACUGGUCUGAGAGGAUGAUCAGUCAAAAUGGAAAUGAGAAAAGGGCCAGACUCCUAAGGGAGGCAGCAGGGGGGAAUAUUGGACAAUGGGCGAAAGCCUGAUCCAGCCAUGCCGCGUGUGUGAAGAAGGUCUUCGGAUUGUAAAGCACUUUAAGUUGGGAGGAAGGGCAGUAAGUUAAUACCUUGCUGUUUUGACGUUACCAACAGAAUAAGCACCGGCUAACUUCGUG
rnacentral:rRNA from 1 species